GGAAUGUAUGUAUUUUGUGAUUGUAAUAUAAAUAUGUUUGUGAGAGAUGCAUGUUGUGUACUUAUGUAAUGUAUGUAAUCUAUCUAUGCAUUGUAGGGAAGGGAGUUGGAGAGAAAAAGGAGAAAGAGCAGAAAAAAACCAGUGAAAGGUGCUUUAGCGAAUGAAGAAAAUGACCAAGAGAAUGUAUCAAUGGAAGGGAGUUGGAGAGAAAAAGGAGAAAGAGCAGAAAAAAACCAGUGAAAGGUGCUUUAGGGAAUGAAGAAAAUGACCAAGAGAAUGUAUCAAUGGAAGGGAGUUGGAGAGAAAAAGGAGAAAGAGCAGAAAAAAACCAGUGAAAGGUGCUUUAGAGAAUGAAGAAAAUGACCAAGAGAAUGUAUCAAUGUAAGUACCAAUGUCUGUCUGUCAGUGUGUUUGUCUGGUUGUCUGAUCGUCUCCCUGUCUGAUUGUUUGUCUCUUCGUCUUUCUGUCUGUCUGAUUGUUGCCCUGUCUGAUUGUUUGUCUCUUUGUCUGUCUGUCUGUGUGAUUGUCUCAUUGUCUGUCUGUUUGUCUCCCUGUCUGAUUGUUUGUCUCUUUGUCUGUCUGUGUGAAUGUGU